UUCCGUAGGUGAACCUGCGGAGGGAUCAUUACCGAGUUUACAACUCCCAAACCCCUGUGAACAUACCUAUACGUUGCCUCGGCGGAUCAGCCCGCGCCCCGUAAAAAGGGACGGCCCGCCCGAGGACCCCUAAACUCUGUUUUUAGUGGAACUUCUGAGUAAAACAAACAAAUAAAUCAAAACUUUCAACAACGGAUCUCUUGGUUCUGGCAUCGAUGAAGAACGCAGCAAAAUGCGAUAAGUAAUGUGAAUUGCAGAAUUCAGUGAAUCAUCGAAUCUUUGAACGCACAUUGCGCCCGCCAGUAUUCUGGCGGGCAUGCCUGUUCGAGCGUCAUUUCAACCCUCAAGCUCAGCUUGGUGUUGGGACUCGCGGUAACCCGCGUUCCCCAAAUCGAUUGGCGGUCACGUCGAGCUUCCAUAGCGUAGUAAUCAUACACCUCGUUACUGGUAAUCGUCGCGGCCACGCCGUAAAACCCCAACUUCUGAAUGUUGACCUCGGAUCAGGUAGGAAUACCCGCUGAACUUAAGCAUAUCAAUAAGCGGAGGAA
rnacentral:rRNA from 1 species